UUGUAGUCUGCAACUCGACUACAUGAAGCUGGAAUCGCUAGUAAUCGCGGAUCAGAAUGCCGCGGUGAAUACGUUCCCGGGUCUUGUACACACCGCCCGUCACACCAUGGGAGUCGGAAACGCCCGAAGUCUGUGACCGAACCGAAAGGAAGGAGCAGCCGAAGGCAGGUCGGAUGACUGGGGUGAAGUCGUAACAAGGUACC
rnacentral:rRNA from 1 species